rnacentral:rRNA from 1 species
UACGUAGGGGGCUAGCGUUAUCCGGAAUUACUGGGCGUAAAGGGUGCGUAGGUGGUUUCUUAAGUCAGAGGUGAAAGGCUACGGCUCAACCGUAGUAAGCCUUUGAAACUGGGGAACUUGAGUGCAGGAGAGGAGAGUGGAAUUCCUAGUGUAGCGGUGUAAUGCGUAGAUAUUAGGAGGAACACCAGUUGCGAAGGCGGCUCUCUGGACUGUAACUGACACUGAGGCACGAAAGCGUGGGGAGCAAACAGG